rnacentral:rRNA from 1 species
UUGCCAUAUCAAUAAGCGGAGGAAAAGAAACCAACAGGGAUUGCCUUAGUAACGGCGAGUGAAGCGGCAAAAGCUCAAAUUUGAAAUCUGGCACCUUCGGUGUCCGAGUUGUAAUUUGAAGAAGGUAACUUUGGAGUUGGCUCUUGUCUAUGUUCCUUGGAACAGGACGUCACAGAGGGUGAGAAUCCCGUGCGAUGAGAUGCCCAAUUCUAUGUAAAGUGCUUUCGAAGAGUCGAGUUGUUUGGGAAU